rnacentral:tRNA from 1 species
GGGGGUGGCUGGGUCCCGGUGGGUCCCUCGGUCUUCAAAACCGGUGGCGGGCACUUGUUGUCCGCGGUGGGUUCGAUUCCCACACACUCCCGCCA